GGACAGGUGGCCGAGUGGUUUAAGGCGCACGCCUGGAAAGUGUGUGUGCGUGAGAGCGUACCGCGGGUUCGAAUCCCGCCCUGUCCG
rfam:Rhizobium sp. Leaf371 contig_3, whole genome shotgun sequence.